GAAUUCGCCCUUAGAGUUUGAUCCUGGCUCAGGACGAACGCUGGCGGCGUGCUUAACACAUGCAAGUCGAACGGAGGUUACGAGGAAGCUUGCGAAUUGUAACCUUAGUGGCGGACGGGUGAGUAACGCGUGGAUAACCUGCCUGACAGACCGGGACAACACCGGGAAACUGGUGCUAAUACCGGAUACGCUCAAGAGUGCCCAUGCACACUUGAGGAAAGGAGCAAUCCGCUGACAGAUGGGUCCGCGUCCCAUUAGCUAGUUGGAGGUGUAAAGGACCACCAAGGCGACGAUGGGUAGCCGGCCUGAGAGGGUGGACGGCCACACUGGAACUGAGACACGGUCCAGACUCCUACGGGAGGCAGCAGUGGGGAAUCUUCCGCAAUGGGCGAAAGCCUGACGGAGCAACGCCGCGUGAGUGAUUAAGGCCUUCGGGUUGUAAAACUCUGUCAUCAGGGAAGAAAAUAAUGACGGUACCUGAGGAGGAAGCCCCGGCUAACUACGUGCCAGCAGCCGCGGUAAAACGUAGGGGGCGAGCGUUGUCCGGAAUUACUGGGCGUAAAGGGCGCGUAGGCGGUUGUCCAAGUCAGAGGUGAAAACUCUGGGCUCAACUCAGAGCGUGCCUCUGAAACUGGGCGACUUGAGGGCAGGAGAGGGGAGUGGAAUUCCCAGUGUAGCGGUGAAAUGCGUAGAUAUUGGGAGGAACACCAGUGGCGAAGGCGACUCUCUGGCCUGUUUCUGACGCUGAGGCGCGAAAGCGUGGGGAGCGAACAGGAUUAGAUACCCCGGUAGUCCACGCCGUAAACGAUGG
rnacentral:rRNA from 1 species